rnacentral:rRNA from 1 species
AUAGAUACCCUGGUAGUCCACGCCGUAAACGAUGAGUGCUAAGUGUUAGAGGGUUUCCGCCCUUUAGUGCUGCAGCUAACGCAUUAAGCACUCCGCCUGGGGAGUACGGCCGCAAGGCUGAAACUCAAAGGAAUUGACGGGGGCCCGCACAAGCGGUGGAGCAUGUGGUUUAAUUCGAAGCAACGCGAAGAACCUUACCAGGUCUUGACAUCCUCUGCCGACCCUAGAGAUAGGGCGUUCCCCUUCGGGGGACAGAGUGACAGGUGGUGCAUGGUUGUCGUCAGCUCGUGUCGUGAGAUGUUGGGUUAAGUCCCGCAACGAGCGCAACCCUUGAUCUUAGUUGCCAGCAUUCAGUUGGGCACUCUAAGGUGACUGCCGGUGACAAACCGGAGGAAGGUGGGGAUGACGUCAAAUCAUCAUGCCCCUUAUGACCUGGGCUACACACGUGCUACAAUGGAUGGUACAAAGAGCAGCGAACCCGCGAGGGUAAGCCAAUCUCAUAAAGCCAUUCUCAGUUCGGAUUGUAGG